rnacentral:rRNA from 1 species
GACGAACGCUGGCGGCGUGCUUAACACAUGCAAGUCGAACGAAGUGGCGAACGGGUGAGUAACGCGUAAUCAACCUGCCCUUCAGAGGGGGACAACAGUUGGAAACGACUGCUAAUACCGCAUACUGAAGGAGGAGAUUGCGUCUGAUUAGCUGGUUGGAGGGGUAACGGCCCACCAAGGCGAGGAUCAGUAGCCGGUCUGAGAGGAGGAACGGCCACAAUGGGACUGGGACCCGGCCCAGACCUCUACGGGGGGCAGCAGUGGGGAAUCUUCCGCCAAGGACGAAAGGCUUACCGAGCCACGCCGGGUGAGUGAUGACGGGCUUCGGGUUGUAAAGCUCUGUUAGUCGGGACGCGGUACCGAAAUAGAAAGCCACGGCUAACUACGUGCCAGCAGCCGCGGUAAUUC